rnacentral:rRNA from 1 species
AUUGAACGCUGGCGGCAGGCUUAACACAUGCAAGUCGAGCGAGUGGCGGACGGGUGAGUAAUGUCUGGGAAACUGCCUGAUGGAGGGGGAUAACUACUGGAAACGGUAGCUAAUACCGCAUACCAUCAGAUGUGCCCAGAUGGGAUUAGCUAGUUGGUGGGGUAGUGGCUCACCUAGGCGACGAUCCCUAGCUGGUCUGCGAGGAUGACCAGCCACACUGGAACUGAGACACGGCCCAGACUCCUACGGGAGGCAGCAGUGGGGAAUAUUGCACAAUGGGCGCAAGCCUGAUGCAGCCAUGCCGCGUGUGUGAAGAAGGCCUUCGGGUCGUAAAGCACUUUUAGCGGGGAGGCGGUACUCGCAGAAGAAGCACCGGCUAACUCCGUGCCAGCAGCCGCGGUAAUUC